AGGGCGCCGGAGUGUCGGUGCGGUUGGUCCUUUAGGAACCCGCGGGAAAGAUAAAAAGCCAAGCUCUGAACUCUGGUUGGCGUCCUGUGUUAAGACCCCACUUCCUUUUUUCUCUGAGACCUGCAGACGGACGGGAUAGUGUUGAAGUGAAUUUUUGUGACGAAGCUUAGUUUUCAGCUAAGCUAAAAGUAAGCUGAGAGGAAUUGUUUCUUUAAGAAGCUUUGGAAAACGUGUUUCCCCCAAUGUGGUGCCUGGAAGGAAGGAGUUGCUACUGUUACUUUGAGCCACUCCCUGACGCUGUCAGAGAUUCUAAAGAAAAUAAUACAGAGCGAGCCACUGCAUGUAACCUGAGUAACACUGUCUAGGCUGAGUGCCCACAAACAGAAGUUAAUAUUAGAACCAUGACAAAUACAGGAAGGCAACAGAGGAGGCUUUCAUGGACCUUUCAUGACAGUGAUCAACUCAACUCUGAGCAUAAAUGUUAACAUGUGAGAAAUCAUGCAAAUGUGUUUUACAACUGAGCAAUGAGCAAAUGGGACAUGAGGCAUUCUUAAAGGACCCUGGACUGCUGUUUCACAAGCCCAAGCCAUCUCUGCUCUCGCAAGUACCUGCAUGGAUACUUUUCUACUGGAAUGAUCACCAAGGAUGAAAUCUCUUGAAUGGGUGGUCCGGAUACAAACAUUAUUUUAAAUGUCGAAGUUCUUUAUAGGGAGGGUUGGGAGCUUUCCACGUAUCUCAGGGAACCUGAGGGGAGGAACACCAACACUAUAUAUUAAUCCAAAUUAUAAAAAUCUUACAUUCAAGUUUGGAUAAAAACCAAAUUAACAGUUACAAACAGUGGACUAAAAGAGAGUGAAAUUUGAAACAAUAUAUUUAUUUUUUUAUGAGCCUUAAGUGGAGAAUAUCAGUAGAGAAGAAUGUGGUAGAAAUACAUAAGUGGGAGAUAAAAUAUUUAGAAAGCUACAUAAAAGGUUGGAAAAUGUUGAGUAAUAUUUGUAAGAAAGAAAAUGUACUGGAGAAGACAAAAUAAGUUUACUACAUAAAAAUAAAACAUAAGACAGUAAUUUUAGAGGAGCACAAACCAUUCAGUAAGACAAGAUUACAAAGAGAAAUGUUCAUAUUCUGGAGAUCACAAGAGUAAGAUAAAUUGUAGUCAGCCAAAUAAAUCAAAAGCUACCUGAGAUGUCUUAUCCAGCUGGGAAGACCCCUGUUCCUGUUAGUGAUAUUAUAAUGAGAGGAACGACAUGGAAAUGAAGUGAACAGUCAUUGGGGUGAAACUGCAUUUGGCUAAGUUAGCUCUACUUUCAGGGAAGGUUGAACAGCUGGUCUGGGACAGAGGGUGAGAUCUCCAGGUCACCAUGCUGUGGAGACCAUAGGAUUUAUUCUCCCUGGGUUAUAAAGAUUUUUGUCAGGUUGCUACCUCCAUGGAUUUCCUUGCCAUGAGUAGCCAUCAAGGCUUGUUGAAUCCAUUCAAAAAGAUUAGUGUAGACGUAAGAGAGAGUAGGCAGACAUGCUUCAAUCCCAAUCCACUGACCCCUUCUCUACCCUCAUACUCUGCCGACUUGCUUUUGCUAAGUUAUGGUUUGACUUUUUGUCCUUGGUUUACACUGAAGGAUACUACACAAAAGAAAAAUAUUCUUAUAAAUAGCCAUUAAUGAAUAUACUGUCAGGAUGCUACUGAGAACAGAAUCACGUAUCUGAUUUUGUUUCUCCAUUCAUUAUAAGCUACGCAAAUACUUGGAGACAAAAUUUUAGCUCAAUGUUAAUAAUAGCAUAGAACAUAUAUGCAAGUCUAACUUUGCUUUUGGCUUUGAUAUUCUAUCUUGAUUUAUAUUUUCCAGGCCCUGAUUUUUCAUUUAUUUAUAUUUUAUUGUAAGUAAUCUUGUGAGCUGUUUCAAAUAAUCUUGUAACAAAGGUUGUUCUAAAGAAGUCUGUGCAAUGUAACAGUUAUAAGAAAUUAAAUACAU
ensembl:lncRNA